rnacentral:rRNA from 1 species
ACCCUAUUCUAUGUUACAAGUGUCUUAGAAAACCGCCUCGGUAAACGAGGAGGAAGGUGGGAUGAACGUCUGGUCCGCAUAGCCCUUAUGUCCUGGGCUACACACACGCUACAAUGGCCGAUACAGUAGGAUGCCAAAUCGUAAGAUGGAGCUAACCCUCAAAAUCGGUCUCAGUUCGGAUUGAGGUCUGAAAUUCGACCUCAUGAAGUUGGAUUUGCUAGUAAUCGUAGAUCAGCAAUGCUACGGUGAAUACGUUCUCCGGGUCUU